AGGAAAAAAAGAACCAUUUGGCU
rnacentral:piRNA from 1 species